rnacentral:rRNA from 1 species
UUGUUUGGAGAGUUUGAUCCUGGCUCAGGACGAACGCUGGCGGCGUGCUUAACACAUGCAAGUCGAACGGAAAGGCCCUUCGGGGUACUCGAGUGGCGAACGGGUGAGUAACACGUGGGUAAUCUGCCCUGCACACCGGGAUAAGCCUGGGAAACUGGGUCUAAUACCGGAUAGGACCACUUGGCGCAUGCCUUGUGGUGGAAAGCUUUUGCGGUGUGGGAUGGGCCCGCGGCCUAUCAGCUUGUUGGUGGGGUGACGGCCUACCAAGGCGACGACGGGUAGCCGGCCUGAGAGGGUGUCCGGCCACACUGGGACUGAGAUACGGCCCAGACUCCUACGGGAGGCAGCAGUGGGGAAUAUUGCACAAUGGGCGCAAGCCUGAUGCAGCGACGCCGCGUGGGGGAUGACGGCCUUCGGGUUGUAAACCUCUUUCACCAUCGACGAAGGUUCGGGUUAUCUCGGGCUGACGGUAGGUGGAGAAGAAGCACCGGCCAACUACGUGCCAGCAGCCGCGGUAAUACGUAGGGUGCGAGCGUUGUCCGGAAUUACUGGGCGUAAAGAGCUCGUAGGUGGUUUGUCGCGUUGUUCGUGAAAUCUCACGGCUUAACUGUGAGCGUGCGGGCGAUACGGGCAGACUAGAGUACUGCAGGGGAGACUGGAAUUCCUGGUGUAGCGGUGGAAUGCGCAGAUAUCAGGAGGAACACCGGUGGCGAAGGCGGGUCUCUGGGCAGUAACUGACGCUGAGGAGCGAAAGCGUGGGGAGCGAACAGGAUUAGAUACCCUGGUAGUCCACGCCGUAAACGGUGGGUACUAGGUGUGGGUUUCCUUCCUUGGGAUCCGUGCCGUAGCUAACGCAUUAAGUACCCCGCCUGGGGAGUACGGCCGCAAGGCUAAAACUCAAAGGAAUUGACGGGGGCCCGCACAAGCGGCGGAGCAUGUGGAUUAAUUCGAUGCAACGCGAAGAACCUUACCUGGGUUUGACAUGCACAGGACGCGUCUAGAGAUAGGCGUUCCCUUGUGGCCUGUGUGCAGGUGGUGCAUGGCUGUCGUCAGCUCGUGUCGUGAGAUGUUGGGUUAAGUCCCGCAACGAGCGCAACCCUUGUCUCAUGUUGCCAGCGGGUAAUGCCGGGGACUCGUGAGAGACUGCCGGGGUCAACUCGGAGGAAGGUGGGGAUGACGUCAAGUCAUCAUGCCCCUUAUGUCCAGGGCUUCACACAUGCUACAAUGGCCGGUACAAAGGGCUGCGAUGCCGUGAGGUUAAGCGAAUCCUUUUAAAGCCGGUCUCAGUUCGGAUCGGGGUCUGCAACUCGACCCCGUGAAGUCGGAGUCGCUAGUAAUCGCAGAUCAGCAACGCUGCGGUGAAUACGUUCCCGGGCCUUGUACACACCGCCCGUCACGUCAUGAAAGUCGGUAACACCCGAAGCCAGUGGCCUAACCCUUUGGGAGGGAGCUGUCGAAGGUGGGAUCGGCGAUUGGGACGAAGUCGUAACAAGGUAGCCGUACCGGAAGGUGCGGCUGGAUCACCUCCUUUCUAAGGAG